UUUCGAUUGGUGGCAAUUUGUACACUAAGUACACUAAUAGGACAAUUAAACCAAAUACACAACUAUAAGAAAGUGAAAUACUGGUUCUGCUUAGAUUGCAAAUUAAGUUAUUCAUUUCUUCUGUAGACUUCAGGUGGGUGCCUAGAUUUGCUAAACGGUUAAAAUUCGUCAGGUGGAGAUGUUGGCCUUUGGCUACAAUGAAAGUGGUGCAGGAGAACACCUGGAGAACAGUGAGAAAAGCUUUAUCUGAAACAGGGGUGGGUAUUUGCCCUUUGGAGUUGGCUGGCAUGAUCUCCUGGUAAAAUGAGAGAGCCUUCAUUCCUCUGAAACUUUCCUUGUGCUUACUGCUAUGGAGCUGCACAAGCAGUUGUUUGCAGGCCUGGCUUAGUGAGGAAAUGGAAUUCGUGGAGUUUUACAUCGGCAAUAAUAACCCGUAGCAUCUCUACAGCCUCUUCUGUCUUCAAAGCCCUGUGCAAAUACGAGCUGAUUAAUCACACCUGAGCGCCUGAUAGGCCAUCGUUUUGAGAAGAAAGCGUUUUGUUCCGCACAAAAGCAACGGUUCAGAGCCUGCCCUCGUUCACGCCUCCCCUUCACUUUGCAAACAGCAAAGCUGAGACAAUGACGAUAGCCACUAAGAGAGGAAGGACCAAGUACAAUGUUAAUAUUGCCAACCUGCUGCAUGAGGAAUGAACCAUGCUUGUAUAAAUUAAUUGGGGUCUUAAGCAAAAUCGAGGCAUGAACAUGCUGGUCUUACUUGCAAAAGAGAGAAGGCAGAGAAAGGGAUCCCAGAGGUACUGCAAGCCUGUUUUGCUGCUGAGCGUUCUGUACCAUGAAACCACAGCCCCAUGGAGCACAAGAACAACAGGAGGUGUGCGUUACACUGCCUUUUCAUCUGCUGGGCAUCAUGUGGAAAUGAGAAAAGUUGGCACAGAAAACUACAGAACCACCACAGUGAACAAGAGUGACAAAGCACGGAGCUCCUGCUCCCACCGGGGUCAGCAACCACCAGGGUCCUCUUGGUUGGUGCCAACUGAACCAAAAGGAAGAAUCAGCAAGAUGAUAACUUCAACGAAAUGGAGGGCAGAGCUCUGGGUGGUGGUGCUCUGGCCUUACUCAUAACUGUACCCUUCCUGUCACCCAUUAAUAAGCAGGUUUGGUUUGUUUGUCCUUGUGCCAUAUUUUGGUUUGGUAACAAUAGUCUGGGUGAUGGUAGAAACACUUCAAAUGCUGGCAAUGUACAUCUCACUAUAAGAGGUAGAACUAUGCUUUUAUUAUUAUUAUUAUUAUUUAUCAUUGUCAAUUAAGAUUCAGAACCAAAUCACCACAUUUGAUGGGAAUUCCUCCUCUGGCUUCCAGGGGUAUUGAAACUUUGUGCUGUUUUAGUGGCUCUCCAGAGAAGGUUUCAGUUUAUUUCCAGGCAUGAUGCAUUCCAGUUGGUUUAGCAGGAAGCUGGCAGUGGUGGAUCUUUUAAAACACACGUUGCAGGAAAGAGCAAAGGACUGUAGUGCGAGAAAUUGAGGUUUUGUGCUAAGUGUGAAAAGUGGAAAUUUGUCUCUGCAUUCAAGGAAGAUGUGGCCUGUUGGGUAGAGCAGAAACAGAGCCAGGGCAGAUUUCUGCAUUUAAUUUCUGGCUUUGUUAUUGUCUGUGGUGAGACUUCAUGUGUGCUCCCACCUCCUAUUUUUAAGAUGAAGUCUUUACUUGCUAAAACGGUGAAAACCAAUGGCUCUGCAAGAGCUUUGGCUGAUAGACACAGACAAAACUUGUGGUGUCUUCUGUCACCCAUAGCAAACUGUAACUAACCUUCUUUCAAGUCACUCAGUUGAAUUACUAAAUGCCUAAUUUAAAGAAACAAGUUUUAAGCUAAUUUUUAAUGUAACAACCUUUAAAAAUAUUGGGACCUAUCCCCAUACUUGCCCUUCCUCCUGAUUCUUUUUCUUGCUAGAAUGCAGUGCAAGGAGGUAAAAGAAGAAGAGGCUGUGCCACCUCUCUCCUUCCUCACCCUGCAGCCAGCAGAAAAGGCAUAAACAAAGCACCGGUGUGCUCUGACUCUCAGGGACCUCCUGUGCCUGGCUGCCUUACGCCUGUGUGACAACUUCAGGACAAACCAGAAAUCCAAAGAGAGGUGGCUGAGGAGAAUUCUUUGUACAGAUUUUUUUCCAUGUUUGACAAAAUUUGAAAACGGGUUUUUUGGCAGGGAAAUGUAGUUUAAAUUUUGGGAAGCUUUUUUUUUUUUUCUUAAUCAUAAGGGGAAUCUACAGAAGAAAUACUUCCAAAGAAUGUUGUUUAAGACUACAUUAAUGAAUUUGCUGAAAGAGAAAUAUGGUUUUGUACAAGAUGUUUUGCGGGUGAAAAAUAAUACAUUGCAUAGGACUUUCUCCAGUUUGUAGUCAUUGCGAGAACUUUCUCUGGAGUCAGCUCACUACUGGCUAGCACCAUACAACAGAAGUUUUUGACAGGAAAUUGGUGUCAAGUGCUGGCAUUUUGCAACUGACAUUCACUUUCCCCUGGUGUAAAUGACGCUGCGAGACAAGAGGACCCAACCCUAGUGAAGCCCAACGAGUGUAACCACAGUACCUCACUGGGGCUGCUUGGCUCUGGCCCAAGGUGAUGGCUGACACAGGUGUGUGAUUUGGGGGAUUCAAACCUCAGGGAAAAAAAAAAUUAUGAAGAUACAUCGGCACGUGCACUGCUGGAUCUGUCUGAGGGUACUUCCAUCCUCUCUGACAACAUCACACUUGCCAUGCUGCAAGCAAGGAACUCUUUGAGCAUUCCCUGCAUUGCAGGAAUGUGCCUGAUAUCCUCAUCCAGAUGGAUUUUACCUGGGCUGUUCCAGGCCAUCUUCCAUCUCCACAGCACUUGGUUGCAAUGCAUUAUCACCAUUUCCUCAAUUAUCGCACUUAUUGUCUUUCUGCAAGUGAACGGUGAGGCAGUUUGUUAGGCGAUGUGAAAUAUAUUACCAUCAAUAUUUCUUCUUGCACUGUCAAAUCUUGUGCCUGAUGCUUUUCCUUUUUCUGUCGUGCUCUCACUGCUACAACUCCAGCACCUCUGCCUUGUUAAUCACAAAUCAGGAGUGCCAGUGAGGGAAAGGUUCAUGUGCAAACACACACACACCUUUUAUUGCCACACAGUCACAAGAAACAAUAGUUUAUUCCUGUUAUUAACAUCUGAUUACAAUUUGUUUGUUUUUUCUAUUACUGCAAAAAUAAUAUCCAGAAUUGGAGAAGCUGUACUUCUGUUUUGAAGAGAGAAAGCAAGUGUUGGAAGUGAUGCUUUGUGACGAUGGAGAGUUUACUCAGCUUCAAGGAGGCAGCUCUCACAGCUCUACUCCACCCAGGACACAGCAAGCAAGAAAUGACCACUGGCAUUGCUCCUCAGUCUGUGCUAGCAGAAGGCUCCCAGCUGGAAGCCCACCCUGGCAUGUCUGUGUGGUCAUUUGACUACACACAGCCAGGGAGGUUUGGAGGGACAGAACUAAGUCCCAUGGCUGCACCUGCAACUCUCCUUGCCACACAGGGCAGGGAGACAGGAACCUGGUCCUCCCUGGGACACUAACCAGCCUCCUCACCCUGCUCUGGUGGCCCAAGGUUCACAGAGAUUUCUACCUGCUGCAGGAGGUGUUUCUGGAGACAGUUCUUCAAGAAGUGAUCUUGAAACCUCAGGCAAAGUUCCUGAUGACCUGAAUAGUUAUGAACCAAGCAGAGCAGGGAUGAGGGCUAUGGCUCUUACCCACUAAGAUUUUGACAUCUCUGGCUUAUUGGCUUACUGAGAGCCCAAAGUGUUGGUUGAGGGCUCAUCCUACUUCUUGAUAAGGACUUGGGUCCAGUGCUUGGAAAAUCCUGAGGCACAUAGCUCCCAUCACCUUAGGAUUUGGUGAAAGUAGUUUCUGAAAUUUGUUGCUGCAUCAUCUUGAGGAUUUACAUGCUCAAUUCUCCCCCUGCUCCCCUUCUUGGUAGCACUGCUUACAUUGUGUGCUGCCUGAUGGGUCAGGGAAGAGGCUCUCCUGUGACACCAAAGUCAGGGUUUGCAGGGUCACAAGGCCCCUGUGGAAACAUCUUGCAGAGGUGAGGGAGUGCACAGGUUGGUAUCGGAAAGUUGCGGUCAUUCAUGGCCCAUCGCCCUGGAGAAACCCUCACCCAGGCUGGCUGUGAUGCUUAGCCUACAUGCACGUGAUCCCAGGGAAAUAUUUAGGGAGUCAAGGGCCUAAGGGCUUUAGACCUAUGCCCUUGUCCCCUUUCCUGAUCAUGUAUUUUUGUGCUAUAAGAACUUCAUAAAACAGCCUUGCAGAAGUUUCUUGGCCUGUUGUCUAUUUCUGCCUGUUUUCAUCUCCUCCCCAGUUGCAUUAGGCAAAGCCAUAGACAAAUGACCACAAGCAAAAAUGGCAGGGUGCAGGUCUGUGGCCACCUCCUGCCACCACUGGCCUGCUCUCUGGAGUAACCACAGGAUGAAUUUACUCCCUGAGUGCAAACUGCAGGGGUUGUGCCAGGGAUGUUGAGAUGUGAUGACGUAGUUCUAUGUGCAGAGCUGAGCUUGCAGUGUGGGCAGGCAGGGGGCCGAUAAACGUGUGUGUGUGGCAAAAAGAAAAAUUGGAGCCUCUUUCCCCUUCUAGUUUCGUGUUGGCCUUGACCGUUCUCUGAUGCUGUUCAGCAAAAGCCGGGUGCUGGGCAGGAAAGCAGCAGCCAAAUACUCCAACAAGUGGCUUGUUAGUGAGGAAUGUCCUGCGCGAGCUUUGCCGUGGUCUCCCUGCUCUGCACUGCAGCCUCCUUCCCCGGGGUCAGGGCAAGAGCCAGAGCCAGACAAUGCCAUACCGACUGCUGCAGCAUCACCAGGUUGGAUCUGAAGCACUACGUAUGCCACAACACACCAUCCAAACAGCAACUGAUGGUAGAGAGAAAAAACAAGCAACUUUGCUAGGUGUUCUGAGUCACUGCAACCCUCAGUCUGCCCCAUAAAAUCAGCAGAGUUGCAGAAUCCGAUUCAAAGCCCCAGCAAAGUCAAAAUGAUCCUUUGACUGGCUUGAGGAGACAGCCGAUAGACCAAAACAACCCAAACCUUUCCCUUUGUCCCCAGAAAACGUUUGAACGUUUGCAUGUAAUGAAACAUUCAGUAGGCCAGGAAUAAAUUAAGUGCAGAAUCUCAACUCCUUUAAUAAAAUAAUCUGCUAAACUGACACUUGUGUGUGG